CGGCGGACGGGUGAGUAACGCGUGGGUAACCUGCCUUGUACUGGGGGACAACAGUUAGAAAUGACUGCUAAUACCGCAUAAGCGCACAGUAUCGCAUGAUACAGUGUGAAAAACUCCGGUGGUACAAGAUGGACCCGCGUCUGAUUAGCUAGUUGGUAAGGUAACGGCUUACCAAGGCGACGAUCAGUAGCCGACCUGAGAGGGUGACCGGCCACAUUGGGACUGAGACACGGCCCAA
rnacentral:rRNA from 1 species